rnacentral:rRNA from 1 species
UAUAGAGGGUGCGAGCGUUGUUCGGAAUUAUUGGGCGUAAAGGGCGCGUAGGCGGUGCGGUAAGUCACCUGUGAAAUCUCCUGGCUCAACUGGGAGCUUGCAGGCGAAACUGCCGUGCUGGAGUGUGGGAGAGGUGCGUGGAAUUCCUGGUGUAGCGGUGAAAUGCGUAGAUAUCAGGAGGAACAUCGAUGGCGAAGGCAGCCCCUUGGACCUGUACUGACGCUCAUGCACGAAAGCGUGGGGAGCAAACAGG